rnacentral:ribozyme from 1 species
UGAAACCUAAUGAGCAUGGGAAACCCCACCGGGCGAAAUAUCGAAUCUGUGUACUUGGAAAUCUAGACCCCAACGACUGGAAUAAAACAGACUGUUUCGCACCAGUCAUGUCCCAUAUGGAACUACGGCUGAUGAUAGCAAUGGCUGUCCAGAUGAAAUGCAGCCUAAA